UAGAAAACCAGGACUUGAACCUGUACUUAAAAACUCAAAAUUUCUUGUACUUCAUUAUACUAUUUCCUA
rnacentral:tRNA from 1 species